rnacentral:rRNA from 1 species
UACGUAGGACCCAAGCGUUAUCCGGAGUGACUGGGCGUAAAGAGUUGCGUAGGUGGCUUGUAAAGUGAAUAGUGAAAUCUGGGGGCUCAACCUCCAGGCUAUUAUUCAAACUCACAAGCUCGAGAAUGAUAGAGGUCACUGGAAUUUCUGAAGUAGGGGUAAUAUCCGUAGAUAUCAGAAGGAACACCAAUGGCGUAGGCAGGUGACUGGAUCAUUUCUGACACUGAGGCACGAAAGCGUGGGGAGCGAACCGG